rnacentral:rRNA from 1 species
AACGAACGCUGGCGGCGUGCCUAACACAUGCAAGUCGAGCGAGAAAGUCCGCAAGGAUGAGUAAAGCGGCGCACGGGUGCGUAACACGUGGGUAAUCUUCCUUGGAGCCCGGAAUAACUCCCCGAAAGGGGUGCUAAUGCCGGAUAAGCCCACGGGAACUUCGGUUCCUGAGGGAAAAGGUGGCCUCUGCACGCAAGCUAUCACUCCUAGAUGAGCCCGCGGCCCAUCAGCUAGUUGGCGGGGUAACGGCCCACCAAGGCUACGACGGGUAGCUGGUCUGAGAGGACGAUCAGCCACACUGGAACUGAGACACGGUCCAGACUCCUACGGGAGGCAGCAGUGGGGAAUCUUGCGCAAUGGGCGAAAGCCUGACGCAGCAACGCCGCGUGUGUGAUGAAGGUCUUCGGAUCGUAAAGCACUGUCGGGAGGGACGAAUAAGGGCGGAGCGAAUAUCUCCGUCCGAUGACGGUACCUCCAAAGGAAGCACCGGCUAACUCUGUGCCAGCAGCCGCGGUAAUACAGAGGGUGCUAGCGUUGUUCGGAAUUAUUGGGCGUAAAGCGCGUGUAGGCGGCCAUGCAAGUCGGGUGUGAAAGCCCUCAGCUUAACUGAGGAAGUGCGCCCGAAACUACAAGGCUUGAGUGCCGGAGAGGGUGGCGGAAUUCCCGGUGUAGAGGUGAAAUUCGUAGAUAUCGGGAGGAACACCAGUGGCGAAGGCGGCCACCUGGACGGUUACUGACGCUGAGACGCGAAAGCGUGGGGAGCAAACAGGAUUAGAUACCCUGGUAGUCCACGCUGUAAACGAUGAGCGCUAGGUGUUGCGGGUGUUGACUCCUGCAGUGCCGCAGCUAACGCAUUAAGCGCUCCGCCUGGGAAGUACGGCCGCAAGGCUA